AGAUAAAGUCUAAAAUUCCUCAUGUAUUAAAAGUGCUUAAAAAUUGUGGGAACGAUGACCAGAAUCCAGAUAGAAAAACAGGCCAAAGGCGUCGGGAGAGAAAGAGGCCUUCACACGGACAUUCCGUUCCUUAUCUGUCAGAUUGGCAAGAAGUAACACCCUUUGCUCUGCAAACCGCGUGGGAAGAGGCGCAGCGGGCGGGGGCACGGGACCGCAAACCGGCGCAGGCUUCCUACGGGCACGUUGUGCAAAAUCGAACCCAAGGAUGCGUCUGCUCAUCUUCCGUAGACAUCCGCCCGCAGGGGCAGCCUGGGGGUGCAGGUCCAGCGGAGGCAGCACGUGCGCACACGCUCGUUCCCGGGCAGUGCAGGCGGGGGCUCCGUGGGGGGGCGGCAGGGCUCCGGGGCCGCUCCGGUGUGCGACAGCGCGUGCAAGAGCGCUACCUGUGAUGCUCCUCGGGUGCAACACGGAAUCCAAAGUUCUAGAAUUAGGGCACUUCCAUCACAUAAAAAAGGGUGACGCUUGCAGAAGCUCAGAAGCCAUCUCCAAGAGAGCCGACACGGGGUGAACUUUGAGAAGAUACAGAGGGGUCCCUUAGGGAGCAGCAGGGAAAGGAUGCUGCUCCUCUGCGUCGGGUGUAGACGUCGGAUAUGCCGCGUGCUCUGGCGCACGGCUGACAGGCGGCCAGCUGACCGCGGCUAAGCGCUGAGACCCUUCCUUCUGGGUGACCUCCUUCUAGGUCACUCCCCAUCCUAGUGGUGCGGAGGCCCACCUGUGUGCACUGUGCACAGGUCCCUCCCGGCUGAUGGCGCUGCGGGCCCCAGGACCCCUUCAUCUGGGCGUGCGCGGUGCAGGGCGGCAACAGUGUGGGUGCCUUUGUGGCAAAAAUAAAAGUGUUCAUUUAUCGAGAAAGUUUCUACCUCAACUUCCUAUUGGAUGUGUUUUCUUCUUUGCUCUUAGACCUCUCUUGGCUCUUCUAUUUGUUUGCUUUACUACUCGGCACUUCUAACGCUGUCAUCAUUUAUUCUCCGAGUGACCGUGUUUAUUGGGCAGUUUGGGUUCAGAAGAAGCAUUUGAAAGAGCCACAUUUACUACGGUCUUUCCUGAAGUCUGCCUUUGUGCAAAUUGACAAACAUUAAAGGAGAACAAAAAUCCUAGUAAAU